GGGAUCGUGGUGAAAUGGUUAUCACAGCAGACUUUUAAUCUGCCAGUUCAGGGUUCGAAUCCCUGCGGUCCUACCA
rnacentral:tRNA from 1 species